UGUCAUGUAUGCAUGAUACAGUGCUAGAGUUAGAAUUUCAGGGCAUGAAAAAGCAAUUUACUAUGCUUCAGCGCGUGCUUGAUGCAUCCCUUGGUUCUUGGAGGAACAUGUGCUAUUCCUGGUGCUUUUGGUUGUGGAAAAACUGUUAUUAAUCAGGCACUUUCCAAGUACUCCAGUUCUGAAGCUGUUGUUUAUGUGAGAUGUGGUGAAAGAACAAAUGAGAUGGCUGGGGUUCUCAUGGACUUGCCCCAAUUGACAAUGACGUUGCCCAACGGACGUGAAGAGUUUGUCAUGAAGAGAACAACAUCGGUUUCUAACGCGUCUAACAUGCCCGUCGCUGCUCGUGAAGCCUCCAUUUAUACAGGUAAAGGUGUAAUGCCUUGAUAGCCGUGGAAGUAAAGGGAAUUUAUUGAUCAAGCUGGCUCAUUAUAUUAGGGUUGUCUUGAUCUUGCUUACUCAAGUGCUUCACCAGUAGAGCUACACAACAUGUGCGGUGUGCCAAGCUGUGCUUUCAAGUUGUGUCCUCGGCCCUCCCCGUCGUAAUGCUCGUCUAGCAUGAAGCUUGAAAGUUGAUCCAAACCAACACCAUGUAUUCUUAUGGAUGUAUGAGUCAACUCAUUGUAGGUGGAGCUUUUCUCUUGCGCACAACUUACUUUAUUUUAUGCUUUAUCAGUGUAAUGUCCAGUUUCAUUUGCAGGUAUACCAUUACUCUUCUCAUGGUAUUGCAGAUGCAUCAUGUGUAGCUUUUCAGCCUUGCAAAUUUGAGGUUUAACUUA